AACAUAAUCAAACACGUGUAGCCACUGG
rnacentral:sRNA from 1 species